CAUGCCAAUCGAGCAACGAAACCGGACCAGGUUAUGUUUCGAUUGGGUGAUCGCAAUCGGGCACCUGGAUCUUGUGAUUUAACACCUUGCGUCUUUUUGCUUUGGAACCACAUAAAAGAUAAAGUUUACGCCAACAGGCCAACGUUGUUUCAGAAAGCAGCCACUUUGCGAUUGGGUGAAGGAUUGUUUUAUAAAGUCACCAUUGCGAAAGUCAUGGAUGAUGUUAUUGAUGAAGCGCUGCAUUAACGACAGAGAUUAUUAUUGAUGAAUGUGGGUCUCCAAGGAUAUAUCAACGAUGGAAAUUCACAGCGCAUAUUUGUGGGGUUACCGAAUGUAUUGGUAUUCGUCAAACGCUCGUAAAAUCUGCAGGACUACCAGUAGGUAUGAAUUAAGUACGUGCAGUAAGGAAUCAAUGGUGGCUUGUCAGAAGAUAAAUAGCACGUCAUCAUUAUCGCACGGCUGGUUAGGAUAAGCAGUGCCUAACACACCGAGGCGUAUACGUUACCUAAAUGGUUUGUAUGCAAAUUGUAUUAUAUUAUUUAUUCCGACCAAUUUUAUAGAUAUUUUCAUUCUUUAACUCUAAGUUACAUGAGAGAUCGAAUUUUAAUUGUAUUUUAGUAAAAAAUUAUCUGAGCUCUUAAUUGUUUU